GGGGGGGGCGGCGGGUGGGGGGGUGGGGGGGACCCACUGCUGCAUAUCAAUGGGUGCCGUUCAAAUUCCCAGGGAUUAUUGGAGGGAAAAAAAGAGGGGGAAGAGAGAAAAACGAUGCACGCUUCCUCGGAUCUGGGACUGCUGGAUGCUGAGCGGAUCGCCACGACGCGACAAAGUCAAAUCUUUGUCCUUUGUGGGUCUUUUUGCGGUCUGGGCUUGCUGUUCCUGAGGAAGUAGCCAGGAAGCCCUUACCCCAAAAAGUAUCUGCACUGGACUCUGGCGUCUCUCUCUCCCCGAUGGAGUCGUGAGUAUCUCCCGUUCUUUAGAGGUCAGGACGCUGCUGAUUUGUGGCCUACACGCAGAGCACUGGGAGGUGCUUUGAGAUUAGCGCGGAUUUCCCAGUGUGGCUUCAUUUUUCUAUUUUAUAUGUGCAUGCAAAUGGAACAUUUUGAUGUUACUGUGUUGCAGAAGUGAAUUUGGUUGAGGGAAAGCACUGUUUUCCAUUACUACUGUAAUUUAAAUGUGAACGGUAAUGUUCUCUCCUCGUGCCUUUGCGUUGUACAUUAUUUGUGAGUCGUUAGAGUCAUUGCUCUAAGUUCAUUGAUCUAUGCGUGUUAUUAUGCACAGGUGGUUUUUAUUAUAGUAUUCUUGUCAUUAAGAAAAACAGAAAACAACAAUUGAAUGUAUACAAGCCAGACAUCGAUAGAAUUACCUCGAGGAGCAACAUGAGAACAAGCUGAGGCCAAAUAAACUUGGAGCUUGGAGCGUAAACUGGGAUUAUUUAUCAUCACCUGUGAGCCUUCACAUUGUGGAGGCGGUUAUUGUGCGUUGACGAGGAUCCCUCACUUGCACUUCAUCGGAUCCGGGGACUGUUCACGUGCACGAGUACGCACCCGGGGACGCACGGGGACACACAGAGGAAGCAUGCGGGACAUGUCCUCCGAAGUGUUAUUACCUGUUGAAUAAAUAUUUGAAUAAAGUAGAUUUAAUAUUGUACUGUCUUGUUGUCCGUCCAAUAUAUUAUAACCAAUAACUAUCCUUUUGCGAUGGAUGUAGUCAAGUGUUGUCUUUUUUCUACUUUGUCUGCAGUGCUACACCAAGUGUGUAGGUUGUCAUUCUUAUUUUUUCAGCAAA
ensembl:lncRNA